rnacentral:rRNA from 1 species
AGUGAACGCUGGCGGUAGGCCUAACACAUGCAAGUCGAACGGCAGCACAGUAAGAGCUUGCUCUUACGGGUGGCGAGUGGCGGACGGGUGAAGAAUACAUCGGAAUCUACUUUUUCGUGGGGGAUAACGUAGGGAAACUUACGCUAAUACCGCAUACGACCUACGGGUGAAAGCAGGGGAUCUUCGGACCUUGCGCGAUUGAAUGAGCCGAUGUCGGAUUAGCUAGUUGGCGGGGCAAAGGCCCACCAAGGCGACGAUCCGUAGCUGGUCUGAGAGGAUGAUCAGCCACACUGGAACUGAGACACGGUCCAGACUCCUACGGGAGGCAGCAGUGGGGAAUAUUGGACAAUGGGCGCAAGCCUGAUCCAGCCAUACCGCGUGGGUGAAGAAGGCCUUCGGGUUGUAAAGCCCUUUUGUUGGGAAAGAAAAGCAGCAGGUUAAUACCCCGCUGUUCUGACGGUACCCAAAGAAUAAGCACCGGCUAACUUCGUG